CCUACGGGACGCAGCAGUGAGGAAUAUUGGUCAAUGGACGCUAGUCUGAACCAGCCAUGCCGCGUGAAGGAAGACGGCUCUAUGAGUUGUAAACUGCUUUUGUACGAGGGUAAACGCAGAUACGCAUAUCUGUCUGCAAGUAUCUUACGAAUAAGGAUCGGCUAACUCCGUGCCAGCAGCCGCGGUAAUACGGAGGAUUCAAGCGUUAUCCGGAUUUAUUGGGUUUAAAGGGUGCGUAGGCGGUCGGAUAAGUUAGAGGUGAAAUCCCGAGGCUCAACUUCGGAAUUGCCUUUGAUACUGUUCGGCUAGAGAGUAGUUGCGGUAGGCGGAAUGUAUGGUGUAGCGGUGAAAUGCUUAGAUAUCAUACAGAACACCGAUUGCGAAGGCAGCUUACCAAGCUACUUCUGACGUUGAGGCACGAAAGCGUGGGGAGCAAACAGGAUUAGAUACCCCUGUAGUC
rnacentral:rRNA from 1 species